rnacentral:tRNA from 1 species
GGAGGGGUGGCAGAGUGGUCGAUUGCGGCGGUCUUGAAAACCGUUAGGGCUAACUACCCUCGGGGGUUCGAAUCCCUCCCCCUCCGCCA